rnacentral:rRNA from 1 species
UACGUAGGGAGCAAGCGUUGUUCGGAUUUACUGGGCGUAAAGCGCGUGUAGGCGGCUGCGCAAGUCGGGUGUGAAAGCCCUGGGCUCAACCCAGGAAGUGCACUCGAACUGCGUAGCUGGAGUCUCGGAGAGGGAGGCGGAAUUCUGGGUGUAGAGGUGAAAUUCGUAGAUAUCCAGAGGAACACCGGUGGCGAAGGCGGCCUUCUGGACAGUGACUGACGCUGAGACGCGAAAGCGUGGGAGCAAACAGG